rnacentral:misc_RNA from 1 species
GUAACAAGGUCUCCGUUGGUGAACCAGCGGAGGGAUCAUUACCGAGUUUACAACUCCCAAACCCCUGUGAACAUACCUAUCGUUGCUUCGGCGGAUCCGCCCCGGUGCCUUCGGGCCCGGACUCAGGCGCCCGCCGGGGGACCCAAACUCUUGUAUUUCUUUAGUAUCUUCUGAGUAAACAAGCAAAUAAAUUAAAACUUUCAACAACGGAUCUCUUGGUUCUGGCAUCGAUGAAGAACGCAGCGAAAUGCGAUAAGUAAUGUGAAUUGCAGAAUUCCGUGAAUCAUCGAAUCUUUGAACGCACAUUGCGCCCGCCAGUAUUCUGGCGGGCAUGCCUGUUCGAGCGUCAUUUCAACCCUCAAGCCCCCGGGCUUGGUGUUGGGGCUCGGCCCGUCCCUAGCGGCGCGCCGUCCCCGAAAUCUAGUGGCGGUCACGCUGUACUCCUCUGCGUAGUAAUCUAACCUCGCAACGGGACAAAGCGCGGCCACGCCGUUAAACCCCCAACUUCUGAAGGUUGACCUCGGAUCAGGUAGGAAUACCCGCUGAACCUAAGCAUAUC